rnacentral:rRNA from 1 species
GAUGAACGCUGGCGGCGUGCCUAAUACAUGCAAGUCGAGCGAACAGACGAGGAGCUUGCUCCUCUGACGUUAGCGGCGGACGGGUGAGUAACACGUGGAUAACCUACCUAUAAGACUGGGAUAACUUCGGGAAACCGGAGCUAAUACCGGAUAAUAUAUUGAACCGCAUGGUUCAAUAGUGAAAGACGGUUUUGCUGUCACUUAUAGAUGGAUCCGCGCCGCAUUAGCUAGUUGGUAAGGUAACGGCUUACCAAGGCAACGAUGCGUAGCCGACCUGAGAGGGUGAUCGGCCACACUGGAACUGAGACACGGUCCAGACUACUAAGGGAGGCAGCAGUAGGGAAUCUUCCGCAAUGGGCGAAAGCAUGACGGAGCAACGCCGCGUGAGUGAUGAAGGUCUUCGGAUCGUAAAACUCUGUUAUUAGGGAAGAACAAAUGUGUAAGUAACUAUGCACGUAUUGACGGUACCUAAUCAGAAAGCCACGGCUAACUACGUG